rnacentral:rRNA from 1 species
UUUAUGGAGAGUUUGAUCCUGGCUCAGGAUGAACGCUGGCGGCGUGCCUAAUACAUGCAAGUCGAGCGAACAGAUAAGGAGUUUGCUCCUUUGACGUUAGCGGCGGACGGGUGAGUAACACGUGGGUAACCUACCUAUAAGACUGGAAUAACUCCGGGAAACCGGGGCUAAUGCCGGAUAACAUGUUGAACCGCAUGGUUCUACAGUGAAAGACGGUCUUGCUGUCACUUAUAGAUGGACCCGCGCCGUAUUAGCUAGUUGGUGGGGUAACGGCCUACCAAGGCGACGAUACGUAGCCGACCUGAGAGGGUGAUCGGCCACACUGGAACUGAGACACGGUCCAGACUCCUACGGGAGGCAGCAGUAGGGAAUCUUCCGCAAUGGGCGAAAGCCUGACGGAGCAACGCCGCGUGAGUGAUGAAGGUCUUCGGAUCGUAAAGCUCUGUUGUUAGGGAAGAACAAAUGUGUAAGUAACUGUGCACAUCUUGACGGUACCUAACCAGAAAGCCACGGCUAACUACGUGCCAGCAGCCGCGGUAAUACGUAGGUGGCAAGCGUUAUCCGGAAUUAUUGGGCGUAAAGCGCGCGUAGGCGGUUUUUUAAGUCUGAUGUGAAAGCCCACGGCUCAACCGUGGAGGGUCAUUGGAAACUGGAAAACUUGAGUGCAGAAGAGGAAAGUGGAAUUCCAUGUGUAGCGGUGAAAUGCGCAGAGAUAUGGAGGAACACCAGUGGCGAAGGCGGCUUUCUGGUCUGCAACUGACGCUGAUGUGCGAAAGCGUGGGGAUCAAACAGGAUUAGAUACCCUGGUAGUCCACGCCGUAAACGAUGAGUGCUAAGUGUUAGGGGGUUUCCGCCCCUUAGUGCUGCAGCUAACGCAUUAAGCACUCCGCCUGGGGAGUACGGUCGCAAGACUGAAACUCAAAGGAAUUGACGGGGACCCGCACAAGCGGUGGAGCAUGUGGUUUAAUUCGAAGCAACGCGAAGAACCUUACCAAAUCUUGACAUCCUUUGACCGCUCUAGAGAUAGAGUUUUCCUCUUCGGAGGACAAAGUGACAGGUGGUGCAUGGUUGUCGUCAGCUCGUGUCGUGAGAUGUUGGGUUAAGUCCCGCAACGAGCGCAACCCUUGAACUUAGUUGCCAUCAUUCAGUUGGGCACUCUAAGUUGACUGCCGGUGACAAACCGGAGGAAGGUGGGGAUGACGUCAAAUCAUCAUGCCCCUUAUGAUUUGGGCUACACACGUGCUACAAUGGACAAUACAAAGGGCAGCGAAACCGUGAGGU